rnacentral:rRNA from 1 species
GUAGGUGAACCUGCGGAAGGAUCAUUAACGCUAAAUCCAAACCUACUCAACCAAGCCAAUCUGUUGCGGAGCGCAAGCGACGCAGCUAACAACCUAACCAAAUGCAGCUAACUAAGCUCUUUUACAAAAACAAAUCCUCAACGAUGGAUAUCUAGGUUCCUACGACGAUGAAGAACGCAGCGAAGUGCGAUAAGCAAUGCGAAUUGCAGAGCCGAGAGUCAUCAGAUUUUUGAACGCAACUGGCUCCUGAGGGUAUCCCCUCAGGAAUGCUUCUAUCAGUGUGUUAUUAUCUCCUCACCCAAACCUUAAUGCGAUAGAUGCCCUUCUAUUGCUAAAYCCGAAAGCACUCUGAUCCCUGCAGCUGAAGUCUUCGGACCGAGGCACUCGAUGCAGUAGUCACAUUCUCAAGUGUGAACUCAUCGAGAGCAGAGUCAGCGCAUGUUUACAUGCCAGUGCUUAGACACUCAAAUUUUACCACCACCUGAUGUGAAGUAGGACCACCCGCUGAACUUAAGCAUAUCAGUA